rnacentral:rRNA from 1 species
GAGUUUGAUCCUGGCUCAGGAUGAACGCUAGCGGCAGGCCUAACACAUGCAAGUCGAGGGGUAACAGGGAGUGCUUGCACUCUGCUGACGACCGGCGCACGGGUGCGUAACGCGUAUGCAACCUACCUUCUACAGGGGGAUAGUCCAGAGAAAUUUGGCAUAAUACCCCAUACGAUCAUUUAUUGGCAUCGAUAGAUGAGGAAAACUCCGGUGGUAGAAGAUGGGCAUGCGUCCUAUUAGUUAGUUGGUAAGGUAACGGCUUACCAAGACAUCGAUAGGUAGGGGUCCUGAGAGGGAGAUCCCCCACACUGGUACUGAGACACGGACCAGACUCCUACGGGAGGCAGCAGUGAGGAAUAUUGGACAAUGGAGGCAACUCUGAUCCAGCCAUGCCGCGUGCAGGAAGACGGCCCUACGGGUUGUAAACUGCUUUUAUACAGGAAGAAACGCCGCUACGUGUAGCGGUUUGACGGUACUGUACGAAUAAGGAUCGGCUAACUCCGUGCCAGCAGCCGCGGUAAUACGGAGGAUCCAAGCGUUAUCCGGAAUCAUUGGGUUUAAAGGGUCCGUAGGCGGUUUUUUAAGUCAGAGGUGAAAUCCUGCAGCUCAACUGUAGCAUUGCCUUUGAUACUGAAAGACUUGAGUUAUUGUGAAGUAGUUAGAAUGUGUAGUGUAGCGGUGAAAUGCAUAGAUAUUACACAGAAUACCGAUUGCGAAGGCAGAUUACUAACAAUAUACUGACGCUGAGGGACGAAAGCGUGGGUAGCGAACAGGAUUAGAUACCCUGGUAGUCCACGCCGUAAACGAUGGAUACUAACUGUUCGUCCGCCUCGGCGGAUGA